rnacentral:tRNA from 1 species
GCCUGAGUAGCGCAGUAGGAUAGCGCGUCAGUCUCAUAAUCUGAAGGUCGUGAGUUCGAGCCUCACGCAGUAGGAUAGCGCGUCAGUCUCAUAAUCUGAAGGUCGUGAGUUCGAGCUCACCUCGGGCA